rnacentral:rRNA from 1 species
UACGGGGGGGGCAAGCGUUGUUCGGAAUUACUGGGCGUAAAGCGUGCGCAGGCGGUUCUUCAAGUCAGUGGUGAAAGCCCGGAGCUCAACUCCGGAACUGCCAUUGAAACUGUAGGGCUCGAGUACGAGAGAGGUGAGUGGAAUUCCCAGUGUAGAGGUGAAAUUCGUAGAUAUUGGGAAGAACACCGGUGGCGAAGGCGGCUCACUGGCUCGUAACUGACGCUCAUGCACGACAGCGUGGGGAUCAAACAGG